UACGGAGGGUGCAAGCGUUAUCCGGAUUUACUGGGUUUAAAGGGUGCGUAGGUGGGUAGGUAAGUCAGUGGUGAAAUCUUCGAGCUUAACUCGGAAACUGCCAUUGAUACUAUUUAUCUUGAAUACUUUGGAGGUAAGCGGAAUAUGUCAUGUAGCGGUGAAAUGCUUAGAUAUGACAUAGAACACCAAUUGCGAAGGCAGCUUACUACACAGUCAUUGACACUGAGGCACGAAAGCGUGGGGAUCAAACGGG
rnacentral:rRNA from 1 species